CUCUUAUAAGAUUCUAAUAUUCAAUCAAAUGAUUGUGCACUUUUAUGCUCAAAACAAAAGCACUUGGUGUUGCUCUUUUCCAGGAAAUAGAUUAUCGUUAAAAUAUAAUAGGCAUUCAGAAAAAAUACAAGUUUAACCUACUCUGGCAAAAUUGAUCGUUAGAAUUUUUACAAACGGCCAUGCAUUUACUAUGUUUCAAUUUAUGCAUAAACGGUUUGAACAUUUACGUUUUAGAGCGGCAAGUCAGAUGGAUGGAAUUAUUUUGUCAAUGAUUACGGUCCAAAUGGAAAAGUAUGCAAACCAAAAGAAUGGGCUCGUUGUUUCAACCACGGGAUCUUGUCCCAUAACCUUAUCGAAGAAAGGUAUCAUCGAACGAUAAAAGAUUUAACGCUCAAGCGAAGUGACAGAGUUGACCAGUUGUGUCACGCUUUGCUAAAAAUCGAUGAAUUUUAUGUUGGAAAAGCGUUGAUUCUUCAUCACCAUAUAUUGGGCGGAAAAAGGCCAUCUCGGGCACAAGCAUGUUAUAACCAGCAACACCCGGACACUUCUGAAGGUUAUGGAGUUUAUUCACUUGGAGAGAAUAGAUUCAACGUCCGCAAGUUUGAUGUUCAGAGCCCCGACCAGUUACUAACUUAGCACUUACGUCCUCGCUCCAAACCCUUACAAGUGCAAUAAAAGCAUUUGUGAAGUACGUUGCCCUAGAUGCUCUUCCAACGGUGUCUGUAGUCAUGAAAUGACUUGCACGUGCCCCGAUUACGCCAGAAGAAAUACUUGCAAACAUUCUCACUUGUUGACCAUGAAAACAGAAUAUCGUUCAAAUCGAGAUGUAGAUCUAGUUUUUGAGGAGGGAGAACCAACUCAAGAUACGCCUGACAACGACAAAAAUUGCAAGGAACAGAUUAUAAAUCUGUCUGGUAGCUUUGAAGAACGAAAGGCAGCUGUACUACAGAGGUUAAAUAACCAACUCAACACUUUAACACCAGUUGCUGCCGAGAUCCUUCUGAAGAAAGUUCAAGAUGCCUUACAAACCAGUGGACCAUUGUUUCCUAAAUUAGACAGGGGACAGAAGAGAGAGCGGAUUCAAUCAAUCUUUCCUCGGACCAGCAAUAAAAGAAAGAAAAUCCCCCAACCUGUACCGGAAUCCCUCCAAAAAGAUUUGAUUUUAGAAUGUUGCACCUCCUCUCUAGACAGCAAUUGUUGGAUGUUUUGUAUAUCUUUGAAUAUAGAAACUGUAUUACAGGAAGCCAAAAAUUUGCCUCAAAAAGAGGAAUUCCUCUCUAAGUAUGAGGCGGCCAAAUUAAUAUGGAAAUGCCACUAUUGCAAUAUUUCCAACGAUCUCAACAGAAAUUUGUCUGGUUUUGUUCAAUGCGAUCAAUGUGAAAAUUGGAUUCAUUGCUAUUGUACUGAGUAUAACUCACUAGCAGAGAUCAACGGCAACUGGUUUUGUAAAAAUUGUGUAACUUCCGCAUAAUUUCAUCAUUUGACUUGUCGUUCAAUAAACAUGCAUCUA